UCAAGGUAACAGCACUGCAAGUGGUUCAGCUCCAAAGAAGGCUAGAGUUCAAACCUCUUCCUCAGCACAAUCUACUCUAAAGGUAAGAAAGGAGAGGCUUGGGGAUAGAAUAACAGCACUUCACCAGAUAGUAUCCCCAUUUGGAAAGGCUCCAACCCCAUGAACCUCAUCUCAAACAUUGAGCCUCUAAAUGGAGGAAACUUCAGCAAGUGGGCAAAGCAAGUUGAGAUGGCACUUGCACUUGCAGACAUUGACUUAGCUGUUACCACACCAUGUCCCACAGCUCCUGUGGCACCAGUGAGGGGUGAUAGUGAGACUGCUGGUGAAUGGCAGGAAAGAGAAAGGGCACAUGCUGUUGUGCAAAUGAAGUAUGAUCUAGAGAAAGCUAAGUGGACCUCAUCAAACCGCAAGUGUUUGAUGGUGAUCAAGAGCUCCAUCGUGGACACCAUAAGGGGAGCAAUUCCAGAUGCUCCCACUGCAGUUGAGUACCUGAAGAAAGUGGAGAGUCAAUUUGUAUGCUCAGACUCUGAUUCAGAGGUUGGUUGUUAGCAAGUACAUUGGUGGGGGCAUAAGAGAGCAUAUUCUGAAAAUGAGUAACAUGGUAUCUAAGCUUCCUGUGGAAAUGAAGCUUCCAGCUCCUUUCAUUGUCCACUUGGUUCUAGCUUCCUUGCCAAGAGAGUUUGAGACUUUUGUUGUUAACUACAACAUCAGUCUAGAGCAGUUGGACUUGGAGAAGCUCAUUGCUAUUUGUGUGCAAGAAGAGGAGAGGCUUAAGGCUUCACAUGGUGAUUCUCUCAGCUUUGUGAAGCACAACAACAAGAAAAAGGACUUUCAUGAUAAGGUCGCUAAACCACAGGGGAAACCUCGGUGGGAGAAAGGCUCCUCUCCGCAUGCACCCAGCAAGGCUCCAAAGAAAGAUCAGCCACCAGCAGAAAAGGAUGAGUGCUAUUGGUGCCGCUCAAAGGAACAUCAGAAGAAAGACUGCCCAGGAUUCCUGAAACAAUGCCUCAAGAAAGGGUAUAAGUACGAGGAGGACGCUACAAAGAGGAGAAAGAUGGCUUAAGGUGGCCAAUGGAGUCAGAGCCGAUGCUGAAGCAAUUGGAGUUCUCACAUUAGAUUUAACAAUGGCUCUAAACUCAUUUUGAAUAAUGUUCUUUAUGUACCCUCUUUGUCUAGAAACUUAAUUUCAAU